UGUUUCAAACACAGGAUUGAUCCUAAUACCAAAAAAUACAUCAAAAACAUCAGUCCAAUAUAACGGAUCCAAAACUAAUCUACGAUUAAAAUCGCACUUGAAGGGAUCUAUAAUGCAAAGAUCUGUAAAUAAAACUAGUCAAUUAUUCAAUAUUAAGACAGACGAGAACAAGAUCAAAUAAAAAACUAAGAACAGCAGAUUCAAAAUACAUGCCAAAGAUCAGGAGAGAGUAAAUUCAAAACAAACGGAAACAAGUUAAAUUAGCAAAAGAUCAGAGACGAUCGAUAAAAAUCAAAGCAAAUAAAAGUCAA
rnacentral:lncRNA from 1 species